UACGUAGGGUGCAAGCGUUGUCCGGAAUUAUUGGGCGUAAAGAGCUCGUAGGCGGUCUGUUGCGUCGGCUGUGAAAACCCGGGGCUCAACCCCGGGCCUGCAGCCGAUACGAGCAGACUAGAGUUCGGUAGGGGAGACUGGAAUUCCUGGUGUAGCGGUGAAAUGCGCAGAUAUCAGGAGGAACACCGGUGGCGAAGGCGGGUCUCUGGGCCGAAACUGACGCUGAGGAGCGAAAGCGUGGGGAGCGAACAGG
rnacentral:rRNA from 1 species